AGUUCUCCAGCGCCCUCUGUGGCGGCUGAGAGCAGGCCCUCUAAGGAAGAGAGCUCCGGGCAUAGAGAGCUCAGGCCUGCAGCAGAGGGAGUGCAGAUGUGGGGGAAGCUGACCCUGGAGUUAACAGGCUCAGACCUUAAAGGGGGUAGUCUCACAGCAGGUUCACACCCAGCACUUCAGAGUUUCAGCAAGUAAGGCAACUGCAAGACCCUCAUUCUGCCGGGAAGCUUCUGAUUAGGGCCCUAAACCACCAUCCUUUUCACAUCUGCAAGGACACUAGAGGCAACACCCAGGGUCACUCUGAGAGGGCCUGAACCUGCUUUAUUAACAGGAUCGAGGGUCAGAUACAACAAAGAGAGGACAAUACUGGCACUAGACUGAAAAGAUUCAUGGAACACAGUGGAAAGUCCAGAAAGAGAGCCACGUGACCGAAGUAAGUCGUGAUGCAGGAAAUGAGUGCGUUUCACAGCUUGCUGAGCCCCUACUCGACCCAGGAAGCCCAGCUGGCCCCUCCUCUCAACAGGAGUGAGAAUCAGACACAUGGAGGCAACCACUCAAGGCCACUCUGAGAAGGGUUGAACGUGCUUUAAAUUAAAAGGACUGAGGAUCAUGUGUGUUGGUGUGUCUUGGACUCUGCUCUAAGACUCAUGGAGGCAACCACUCAAGGUCACUCUGAGAAGGGUUGAACGUGCUUUAUUAAAAGGACUGAGGAUCAUGUGUGUUGGUGUGUCCCGGAGUCUGCUCUAAGUAUCAUACUUCCCUGGGCUGAUUCCUGAUUCCAACACAACGCUGGAGGUGUAGGAGUCAUAGUACAGAAGACGCUGUGGGGCCUUCCCCUCCUGGUGUAGGUACCAGUGGAUGUAGCCGGUACUUCCUUCAGCAAGAUCACAAGUGAUUUCAGCAGAUGACCCAGUCUGCCUGAUGACUGACUUCGUUCUCCCUUCCAAGUUGGAAGAUUUCUGACUGGCUGCAAUGGGAACAACACAAAAUAUAAUGAGGAAUUCCUUAGUAUGGCAAUCCUUGCAAAAGAAGAAAAUAAAGAAAA
rnacentral:lncRNA from 10 species